ACACAUCUAACCACUCUUCAGCUGAUAUCCACUUGCUGACAAAUGAAUCUCUCUGGCCCCUGGACUGUGCCCUGAAACACAGCUUAAAACAGCAGAAUGAACAGUAAUCCCAGAGAUCCUGAGAUGAGAAAAGGGUGUUUGACUUAUUCAAAGAAGACCAAGGAAGCCCAAAGACCAGAGAAGAGUGCAGGAAAGGGGCGGCGGUCUGAGAUGCAGUCAGAGCAGUGGCAAGCCCCCAGAGUCUGUGGCAAAGACUUCAGGUUUCAUCCUGAAGAGGAAGACAGGUCUUUGGAGAGUUUUGAUCAAGGAAGUGAGAUGAAAUAUCUUAGGCUUACAAAGAACUACUCUGACAUCUAAAUGGAAAAUGGACUGAUGAAGCAAAAGAAGCCACAAGGAAGCCAGUUCAGAGGCUAUUGAAAUGCUCCAGAUACUCAGAGAGUGAGAGCCUUCAGAUUUGGGUGAGUGAUGCCAUUAGAACCAAGAUUUCUUCCAUUCUUCUGCUCUAUCAUUCUCAGCACAACAUGCUUUUCUCAUUAAGGCUGUAGAAGAUGGCAAGUGCUGUGGACUUCAAAGAAAAGAUUUCUGAAGUGUCAUGUUAUGACAAUUGUGAUGCUUCAAACUAUGUUGACUAUUCAUUUACAGCAUAAAGAAGAGUGAGCCACUUUAUCACUGCAGUAAUUAUAUUUUAAAAAUAAAGAAAAUAAAACAAAUGGAGUUUCCCACCCAAUCCAUGGAGACACAGACACGAAGUCUUACUAUAGAUGUGUGGCCAAUCCUUACAUUGCUUUUAUUACAAGCCUGGAAAUGACAAUAAAAUACAUGAACUUGAGAGUAUAUA
rnacentral:lncRNA from 1 species